GAAUAAUUUAUUCAAAAUAAAUUGUCUACUUUUGAGAAACAUAACGUUUUAUGAGCAACCCUGUCUUCAGCUUCAGCCUGACUUUGAAAUGCUUAAUUUGAUGCAGUGCAUAGAUUUUUUUUCCCGACCAAUGGAAGAUUUUCCAUUAGUCACAAAAAAGGCAGCAUUUAAAUCAACGAUUUCGAGAUUGGAUGCUUUUCAGAGAGCAGAGAGCAAAUGUAAGCAAGAACAUACCGAUGAACAACCCUCCAUUCUAGCGCCGGGGUGCCAAGCUGCUGCAGGCCAGCUGGUAUGACAAGACCCCGACGGAGCUCCACUCCCCUCAGCAUCCACGGGCCUCACUUCAACCAGGUCCCGUACCUGCUAAUUUGCAUCAGUAAACAGGGCAGCCGACAACUUCAAAGUGUCAACACCAAUGAGGCCUGAAAAGGGAAUGGAGCUGUGUUUAACCAUGUGUGCAGGUAAAAGCAUCUAUCAGCAAGUGUGUUUAGCAAUUAAUAGUAGUGGAGGUUCAAUUGGAAACUUAUGUGAAUUUGUAGUUGGCCGUUUUGGACUCCCGUGAUGACCUGCAUGCUAUUUUAGUGGAUUUAUAACAUUCCCAAUAGUUCAUUCCUCAAAUGUGCAAAGUAUUUUCCACACAUUUUUGUUUACAGGGAAAUACUGGAAUGAAUAGCAUCCACAUUGGCUUUCAAAACACACAAAAAAAGCUGUGUGUUUAUCUGUAUACAAAAAAAUCCAUCAAUGUGAAUGUGUGUAUACAUGUUUCUUUGCAUAGGCCACCACCCACAGAGACGUGUCAGGUAAAUAUUUGGAAGACGGAGGGGUCCAGUGUCCAGAGAGGACAGAUGUAGCUGAAGCUAUCCAUCCACUCCACGCAGCCAUCCGAUACGGUCGGAGACACCUGAUCCUGCAUUAGGCCGCCUCUGAAGCUACGCAGAAUCACGCCUCACCCUAAACAUCAACUUGAACCGAACGGCCUCCAACCAGAUAACUGUGCGCGUGUGUGUGUGUGUGUGUGUGUGUGUGUGUGUGUGUAUGUGUGUGUGUGUGUGUGUGUGUGUGUGUGUGUGUGUGUGUGUGUGUGUGUGUGUGUGUGAGCAAGGGUCUUCAAUUGCAUGUGGGCAUUAAUGUUUGUACGUGUGCGUCAGGUUGGUUAAAAAUCACAGAAACUUGAAAUGGAAAGUGGAAAACCACAAGUUGAGUAAUUGUUUUCGGCCGUAUAGUAAUUCCUGUAUGCUGCCGUGUGUGUGUGUCUGCGUGUGUGUCUUGGGGACGUUGUUGUCAUAAGUCACAUGACGAGUCACAGGCGAUGACAGACUCUUUUCUAGGUGUGUUUUCAACAACAACAGCGCAGACUAAGGGUUAAACCUGGGGGAGGAAAUGCAACAAGAAUCCGGGUGUGUCAGAUCCAAUUAAGUGGAAGCUACAUUUGACUUGGCACGUAUUGAUGUAUUAAUGUCGGUGCCUCAUCACGGUAUUAAAAGUCCCACCUCCUGC